rnacentral:rRNA from 1 species
ACCGUGAAAAAAUUAGAGUGUUCAAAGCAGGCAGAUCCAAUUUUCUGCCACCGAAUACAUUAGCAUGGGAUAAUGGAAUAGGACCCUGUCCUCCUAUUUUCAGUUGGUUUUGGCAGCGCGAGGACUAGGGUAAUGAUUAAUAGGGAUAGUUGGGGGCAUUAAUAUUUAAUUGUCAGAGGUGAAAUUCUUGGAUUUAUGAAAGAUUAACUUCUGCGAAAGCAUCUGCCAAGGAUGUUUUCAUUAAUCAAGAACGAAAGUUAGGGGAUCGAAGACGAUCAGAUACCGUCGUAGUCUUAACCAUAAACGAUGCCGACCAGCGAUUAGGAGACGUUGAAUACAAAACACCACCAUCGGUGCGGUCGUCCUUGGCGUCGGUUUCGGCCGGCGCGGGGGCGGCUUACCCGGUGGCACCGGUGAAUGACUCCCCU